GUCGUAGUCUCCAAUCCUCUCGAUCCCCAAUCCAGUCCUGCGCUUCACCGCCGCCGCCACCAUCGUCCGGUCCACAGCCGGAGCCGCCGCCACACCAUCCUCCGGUCCACCGCCGCCGCCGCCACACCACCCUCCGGUCCACCGCCACCGCCGCCACACCAUCCUCCGGUCCACCGCCGCCGCCGCCACACCAUCCGCAGGUCCACCGCCGUGGCAGCAGCUACACCAUCCUCCCAUCUACCGUCGCGGCUGCCUCCCCUCCCUGCGGAAGGCCGUCCUUCCGCCUGCAUCUUCCUCACCACUUGCGUAGUGCCGGUCUCUGCCUCGCCACCCGCCGGAGCACCAGCAUCUGCCCCCCACCAAGCUCCCGUACUUGUCCCCCAUUCAGAUUUACACGUCUUCACCUCCGGCUGCCUGUACUCCUCUACUCGCUGCCUCACAAGUCCCCAUUCUCCAUAUCUCUGAAACAUCAGUGAACAGCUAGGGGAGUUGGCUGGCCACCCUUUUCGACGCCGUAAUUUCCCAGCUUGAACAAGUAUAUUGGCACUUUUCAAGGAGAUAGGAAAAGAGUUGCCAGCGCAUAUACUACAUAUACUAAGCCAUGGAGCUGUUUCGCAACCAGAAGGGACAAAUAACUCGUCUCAACCCGGCUCACAAGCGGUUGAUGUCAACAAUGAUGUCAUGGAGUCGAGCGAGGAGAACGACACCACUGGGAAUGUCGGUGAUCAAAUCGUUGACGCAGCAGCCAACCAUGGCGGAAACUGAUUGCUCAAAGAACAUGAUAACAUCAGACUGUAGGUGGUCUUCAUACGCUCUUUUGUGGACUUGUGUAUCCAGUAUGGUUUAGGAAUGAGAACUAACAUCUGGUGGUAGUUGCAAGCCGGCGUAUUUUGCUAGUAUUGUUGUAGUUGGAAGGUCCUUUUGUGGAUGGUACCAUUGUAGCCUUGUAGUGUACUUUGUUGAUCUAUAUGUAUGGAACUAAUGAUGAUAUAUGAAGUCUGAUGUUGUCAUAUAAAUCUAUUCUCACA